AGAAACGAACGCUGGCGGCAUGCCUAAUACAUGCAAGUCGAACGAACACUUCGGUGUUAGUGGCGCACGGGUGCGUAACGCGUGGGAAUCUGCCCUUGGGUUCGGAAUAACAGUUGGAAACGACUGCUAAUACCGGAUGAUAUCGAAAGAUCAAAGAUUUAAUCGCCCAGGGUAUGAGCCCGCGUAGGAUUAGCUAGUUGGUGAGGUAAAGGCUCACCAAGGCGACGAUCCUUAGCUGGUCUGAGAGGAUGAUCGGCCACACUGGGACUGGAGACCACGGUCCCAGACCGUCCGUACGGGGAGGCAGGCGAAGGUAAGGGAAUAGUUGGACAAGUGGGCGACAAGCCUGGAUCCAAGCGAAUCGGCCGCGUGAGUGAGUAGGAA
rnacentral:rRNA from 1 species